UUCAAUAGCUUUCCAUUGCAGAUUUCGAGGAUUCAAGAGGACAUCGGGUAUCUAGAGUCGAAUGCCUGUGACAGGUCUUGAAAUGUUGCACUAAUAACUAUUGGAAAUAGUCCGAGGUUGAUCUAUUGUCAGGUUAUAAGAUAAGAGGGAACCUGGUUAAAGAGCUGCUCUUGUGAGGUGACCAUUGGGGCACCACCUAAAUGUCCAUAAAUAAAUUUUCUUGAAAUUUUAUCCUGAAGUCGAGAAAAAGAGGGAAACACUUGAUGUGGAACAGCAGGAAAGCCAACUCACUAUGUACUAGACAAGACAGUCUUACGAGGGUUGUCUAAAGAGUUUUUAAAAUAAAAAGGUCUUAAGUAAUGCUUAGGAAAGCAUGCUCAACAAAUGAUGUUGAAGCUUCAAGCGAAUCCGAGCAACAGUUUUUGAGGUAUACGAAUUUUUGUCGAGUGAGGUCCAAGGAGCAAGUUCCAACUUCAAGGUGACCACUCACUUCCAAGUCCAAUAACUCAGAUAAUAUUAGAGCUAUUUUUAUGAAAUCAAAAGCAUAAUACUAAGAAAAGCAUGCUUAAUAAAUAAUGUUUAGAGUCCAAGGUAGUGCAAGUAACAGUUUUUAAAAUAUACGAAUUUUUCUCCAGUGAGGCCCAAGGAGCAAGUUCCAACUUCAAGGUGAGCAGUCACUUCAAAGUCCAAUAACUCAGAUAAUAAUAGAGCUAUUCUGAUGAAAUUCAAAGCAUAAUACUAAGGAAAGUAUGCUUAAUAAAUAAUAUUAAGAUUCCAACCCAAUUCAAGUAACAGUUUUUGAGAUAUCCGAAUUUUUCUCCAGUGAGGUCCAAGAAGCAAGUUCCAUCUUCAAGGUAAACACUUACUUUCAAGUCCAGCAACUUAAAUAAUAAUAGAGCUAUUCUUAUGAAAUCAAUAGCAUAUUACUAAGGAAAGCAUGCUUAAUAAAUAAUAUUUACAGUCUAAACCAAUCCAAGCAACAUUUUUUGAGAUAUCCGAAUUUUUGUUGACUGAGGUCCAAGGAGCAAGUUCCAUCUUCAAAGUGACCACCUAUUUCCAAGUCCAAUAACUCAAAUAAUAAUAGAGUUAUUCUUAUAAAAUUAAAAGCGUGAUGCUAAGGAAAGCAUGCUUAAGAAAUAAUGCUUAAAUUCCAACCCAGUUCAAGCAACAUUUUUUGAGAUAUCCGAAUUUUUGUUGAGUGAGGUUCAAGGAGCAAGUUCCAACUACAAGGUGACCACUCAUUUCCAAGUCCAAUAACUCAGACAAUAAUAGAGCUAUUUUUAUGAAAUUAAAAACAUAAUGCUAAGGAAAGCAUGCUUAAUAAACAAUGUUAAGAGUCUACGUCAGUCUAAGGGACAGUUUUUAAGAUAUCCGAACUUUUCUCCAGUGAGGUCCAAGAAGCAAGUUCCAUCUUCAAGGUGACCACUCAGUUUUAAGUCCAGUAACUUAAAAAAUAAUGGAGCUAUUCUUAUGAAAUUACAAGCAUAUUACUUAGGAAAGCCUGUUCAACAAGUGAUGUUUGGAUUGCAACCUAGUUUAAGUAACAGUUUUUGAGAUAUCCGAAUUUUUCUCUAGUGAGGUCCAAUAAGCAAGUUCCAUCUUUAAGGUGACCACUCCCUUCCAAGUCCAAUAACUCAGACAAUAAUUGUGCUAUUCUUAUGAAAUUAAAAGCAUAAUACUAAGAAAAGCAUGCUUAAUAAAUGAUAUUAAGAGUCCAAGCUAGUCCAAGCAAUAGUUUUUGAGAUAUCCGAACUUUUCUCCAGUAAGGUCCAAGAAGUAAGUUCCAUCUUCAAGAUGAUCACCCAUUUCCAAGUCCAAUAACUCAGACAAUAAUAGAGCUAUUUUUAUGAAAUUAAAAGCAUAAUGCUAAAGAAAGUAUGCUUAAUAAAUAAUGCUUAAAUUCUAAUCCAGUUCAAGCAACAUUUUUUGAGAUAUCCGAAUUUUUGUUGAGUGAGGUUCAAGGAGCAAGUUCCAACUUCAAGGUGACCACUCAAUUCGAAGUCCAAUAACUCAAAUAAUAAUAGAGCUAUUUUUAUGAAAUUAAAAGCAUAAUACUAAGGAAAGUAUGCUUAAUAAACAAUGCUUACAGUCCAAACCAAUCCAAGCAACAAUUUUUGAGAUAUCCGAAUUUUUUUCCAGUGAGGUCCAAUAAGCAAGUUCCAACUUCAAGGUGACCACUCACUUCGAAGUCCAAUAACUCAAAUAAUAAUAGAGCUAUUCUUAUGAAAUAAAAAGCAUAAUAUUAAGAAAAGCGUGCUUAAUAAAUGAUGUUUACAGUCCAAACCAAUCCAAGCAAUAGUUUUUGUGAUAUCCAGUUUUUUCUCCAGUAAGGUCCAAGGAGCAAGUUCCAAUCUUGAAGGUGAUUCUUAAUAGCCAAGUCCGAUUACUCAGAUAUAAGAGAGCUAUUCUUAUGAGAUUAGAGGUAUCUAUUCUUUUUCUUCUUAGGAACGCCAAAUGCCUGGAAGAAACUAUUGAUUUCUUACAGGCAGUUGAGUCAAACCUUUCUUCUCUUCGUCUUCUUCUCCUUCUCCUUCUCCUUCUCCUUCUCCUUCUCCUUCUCCUUCUCCUUCUCCUUCUCCUUCUCCGUGCCAAGGAAUUGAAUGCUGAAUACGUGGACUUUGGUCAAAAAUUUAUCAUUGCACCAAUUAGAGAUAGAGUCAGAUGGAAUUAGAGAUGGAGCCAUCAAAGUCACGUGAGAGAUGCAGAGCUUGAAGUUUAGGUGCAAUCGAUCAGAGUUUUGGCACUGAAGGAAUCAACUAUUAACUAUGGACUACGGUCCUUGCUAACCAGAUCUAGCUCCAAGCACUAAGUUCAAGAGAUAUUCCAAGCAUUAGAAAACAUUGAGCGAACCAAGCUCACUCACCAGAUCUAACCUCAAAUGUUUUGCACUCAAAAACAGUUGCAUCCAUCAAGAAAAGACUCUUAAACACCUUCUUCUUCCAUUACAUAACUCAAGUGUCGCCCUCU